rnacentral:rRNA from 1 species
UACAGAGGUCCCAAGCGUUGUUCGGAUUCACUGGGCGUAAAGGGUGCGUAGGUGGCAGGGUAAGUUUGAUGUGAAAUCUCCGAGCUUAACUCCGAAACUGCAUUCGAUACUGGCGUGCUUGAGGACUGGAGAGGAGACUGGAAUUCAUGGUGUAGCAGUGAAAUGCGUAGAGAUCAUGAGGAAGACCAGUGGCGAAGGCGGGUCUCUGGACAGUUCCUGACACUGAGACACGAAGGCCAGGGGAGCAAACGGG